GUUCCAUAGGGUCCCAGUUUGGGGGUGUCCCAGUUUGGGGGUGUCCCAGUUCCAUAGGGUCCCAGUUUGGGGGGGAUCCCAGUUCAAUAGGAUCCCAGUUUGGGGGUGAUCCCACUUUGGGGGUGUCCCAGUUUCAGGUGAUCCCAGUCCCAUAGGGUCCCAGUUUGGGGGGGAUCCCAGUUUGGGGGGGUCCCAGUUUUGGGGGUCCCAGUCCCAUAGGGUCCCAGUUUGGGGGCGACCCCAGUUUGGGGGUGUCCGAGUUUUGGGGGUCCCAGUUCCAUAGGGUCCCAGUUUGGGGGGGAUCCCAGUUUGGGGGGGGUUCCCAGUUUGGGG
rnacentral:lncRNA from 1 species